rnacentral:rRNA from 1 species
AUUGAACGCUGGCGGCGUGCUUAACACAUGCAAGUCGAUCGGUAACGCGGGGGCAACCCUGGCGACGAGAGGCGGACGGGUGAGGAACGCUUGGGAAUCUGCCUAUCAGCGGGGGACAACCCGGGGAAACUCGGGCUAAUACCGCAUACGCUCUACGGAGGAAAGCCGGGGACCGCAAGGCCUGGCACUGAUAGAUGAGCCCAAGUCGGAUUAGCUAGUUGGCGGGGUAACGGCCCACCAAGGCGACGAUCCGUAGCUGGGCUGAGAGGACGAUCAGCCACACUGGGACUGAGACACGGCCCAGACUCCUACGGGAGGCAGCAGUGGGGAAUAUUGGACAAUGGGGGAAACCCUGAUCCAGCGACGCCGCGUGGGUGAAGAAGGCCUGCGGGUUGUAAAGCCCUUUCGGUAGGGACGAAAGCCCUCGACCUAACACGUCGGGAGGUUGACUUAACCUACAAAAGAAGCACCGGCUAACUCUGUGCCAGCCGCCGCAGUAAUAC